AGUAACGCGUAAAGAACUUGCCUCACAGUUAGGGACAACAUUUGGAAACGAAUGCUAAUACCUGAUAUUAUGAUUUUAGGGCAUCCUAAGAUUAUGAAAGCUAUAUGCGCUGUGAGAGAGCUUUGCGUCCCAUUAGCUAGUUGGAGAGGUAACGCUCACCAAGGCGAUGAUGGGUAGCCGGCCUGAGAGGGUGAACGGCCACAAGGGGACUGAGACACGGCCCUU
rnacentral:rRNA from 1 species